UUGCGCCAAAGCUAGUAGUGCUCCGAGGAUCGCGAAAAGAACUGCAGCAGUGGGGCAAGAGUUUUCAGAUUUUCGAUCUCAUCCACAGUCGGUCGGUCGCUUCGGAGUCGGUGUGUUCGGGUGGUAGAAAGUGUUAGCCAACGGUCAAUCCCUAAGGGAGAAAAUUCAAACCGAAAUCGCCUUGCGCUGUUCAGAGUCUACCGAUGGUGGUCUGAGGCCCGCUCCCUUGGAUUGAGUCGAGCCAGAAGUCGAGCCAGAAGUCGAGCCCCAAGCUCCUGGAGGCCAGCGGUACCGCCCGCUACUGGACUGACAUCACGCACCGCACCGCAGCAGUUUACGAUGCUACGCAACCCACGAAGAGACUGCUACUGGCUGGCCGCAGCCCUACUGGUGACGGUUUUGGCCGCCCGCUCGAACACCUCACCCAUCUCCACGACACCACAGGCCGAGCUCUACCUGUCACAGUUCGGAUACCUGAGCCCGAGGUACCGCAACCCGACGAGCGGGAACCUGCUGGACCACGAGACCUGGGAGAAGGCCAUCAUGGAGUUCCAGAGCUUCGCCGGGCUCAACGUCACCGGGGAGCUGGACGGUGAGACGAUGCAGCUGAUGUCGUUGCCACGGUGCGGCGUCAAGGAUAAGGUCGGGUUCGGGUCGGACACGCGCUCGAAGCGGUACGCGCUGCAGGGCAGCCGCUGGAAGGUGAAGGAUCUCUCGUAUCGGAUAUCGAAGUACCCGAAGCGGCUGGAGCGAGCCGCCGUCGACAAGGAGAUCGCGAAGGCGUUCAGUGUGUGGACCGAGCACACGGAUCUGAAGUUUACGCCGAAGAAGUCGGGUGCCGUCCACAUCGAUAUCCGGUUCGAGGAGAACGAGCACGGUGAUGGGGAUCCGUUCGAUGGGCCGGGUGGAACUCUGGCUCAUGCCUACUUCCCGGUGUACGGUGGUGAUGCCCAUUUUGACGAUGCGGAACAGUGGACGAUCGACAAACCGCGCGGUACGAACCUGUUCCAGGUGGCAGCCCACGAGUUUGGUCACUCGCUAGGCUUGAGCCAUUCGGACGUUCGGUCGGCACUGAUGGCUCCGUUCUACCGUGGAUACGAUCCCGUGUUCCGGCUCGACUCCGACGACAUCCAGGGAAUUCAAACGCUGUACGGGCCGAAGACACGCAACGGUGGUGGUGGUGGUGGCUCCGUGACACCGACGCGCACACCGAAACCGAAGGACACGCCGAAGGAGGUGGACUCGGAGCUGUGUAGCUCGGCGAACAUUGACGCCAUCUUCAACACUGCCGACGGGAGCACGUACGCCUUCAAGGGCAACCAGUACUACAAGCUGACCGAGAACGCCAUUGCCGACGGCUACCCCAAGAAGAUCAGCGACGGGUGGCCCGGACUGCCAGGAAACAUCGACGCGGCGUUCACGUACAAGAACGGCAAGACCUACUUCUUCCAGGGGACCAAGUACUGGCGGUAUCAGGGGCGCCAGAUCGACGGCGAGUAUCCGAAGGAGAUCAGCGAAGGGUUCACCGGUGUCCCGGAUCACCUGGACGCGGCGAUGGUGUGGGGUGGUAACGGCAAGAUCUAUUUCUACAAGGGCAGCAAAUUCUGGCGAUUCGACCCACUGAAGCGGCCACCGGUCAAGUCGACCUACCCGAAACCGAUCUCCAACUGGGAGGGCGUCCCGAACAACCUGGACGCCGCCCUGCAGUACACGAACGGGUACACCUAUUUCUUCAAGGACGACAAGUACUAUCGGUUUAACGAUAGAACGUUCACGGUCGAUCAGUCCGAUCCGGCGUUCCCGCGACCGACGGCCCACUGGUGGUUCGGCUGCAAGAACACUCCCUCGACCUUCAACACACUAGGUAACGUACGGUUGGAGCACUCCAACGAGCAUCCGGGCGAUUGGGCCGAUCUGAACGCGGAUGCCGCCACCGAUAUGCUUCAACCGUACAAUCGCAACCGGCUGUAAUGGGCCGACGACGAUGACGAGGACGACUUGGCUUCCGUAUCUCUGCCACUCUGCUCUAUCGCUCUCGCUCGCUCUAUCUUACUGUGUCUCUAACUUUCCUGUGAGUGAAACUGCAUAGCCGUGCAAGGGUAAUGCCGAGUUCUUGAUUUCCUAUCCGCCCGCCAGUAGCAUGAAGCAUCCCACAGCCACCCACCCCGACCGGGAGGUCAGUCGGGGGGAUCAAGGGGGCGGCUGCCUGUGUGACCUUGGUAGCCGGCUGGACUAUAAUUAAGAAGCGAACGUGCUCCGCCAACUACCGUUUAGAACAACUACCCUAGCUAGCUGUCAGAGUGUGCUAAUCGGGCCGGCCGGAAGUGCCCAGGGGAAAGUGGCCUUGCCGUGACUACUACCAGAACCACCACCACGACCACCACCACGACCACUACUACUACUACUACUACUGCGGAGCCAUAUUAGCCAUUAGCGUCCCCGGGGCCAGACACCACCCGGAUUGCAGCCGCGGGCGGAACAAUCGGCGGAACGAAUUGUCCUCCGGCCCCCGGGUUUUUUUCGGACCACGAUGCUUUGCCGCGCUUAGAUUGUUUCGUUGUUUUCCACCCAGUUCCAACCACAAGCACACGCACACUCUCGCCGACGCACUGUCCCUAGCGUAGUGUGUGCGCUGAGACGGCCCUGCGCCGAAGGCUGUACCCAGCCGGCCCAAGCCAAGCCAGUAGUCGCGCCCCAAGAACACAAGUACGCGCCGGAAAGCCAACACCCAGCGCUAACCAUUGUUUUUUCCUUCUCUUUCGCCUUUCUCCUGUGUGUGUUUUUGUGUGUGUGCGCGUGUGUUUCCAUUUUGUCUCCAUCUCCGGAACCUCCGCAGCCGGAACCGACGAGCGGCCAGCACCGGACGACUACAGCGGUGGCGGAGCGACCAGCAUCAGUCUCAGUAUUACCCUCUUGUUGGCCGCACUGGCAGCCCGGGUUGUGGUGGAACGCCACU